CCUACGGGACGCAGCAGCGGGGAAUAUUGGACAAUGGGCGAAAGCCUGAUCCAGCAAUGCCGCGUGUGUGGAGAAGGUCUUCGGAUUGUAAAGCACUUUCGACGGGGACGAUGAUGACGGUACCCGUAGAAGAAGCCCCGGCUAACUUCGUGCCAGCAGCCGCGGUAAUACAAAGGGGGCUAGCGUUGCUCGGAAUGACUGGGCGUAAAGGGCGCGUAGGCGGUUUAUGCAGUCAGAUGUGAAAUUCCCGGGCUUAACCUGGGAACUGCAUUUGAGACGCAUAGACUAGAGGUCGAGAGAGGGUUGUGGAAUUCCCAGUGUAGAGGUGAAAUUCGUAGAUAUUGGGAAGAACACCGGUGGCGAAGGCGGCAACCUGGCUCGAUACUGACGCUGAGGCGCGAAAGCGUGGGGAGCAAACAGGAUUAGAUACCCUCGUAGUC
rnacentral:rRNA from 1 species